GAUGAACGCUGGCGGCGUGCCUAAUACAUGCAAGUCGAGCGAACAGAUGAGGAGCUUGCUCCUCUGACGUUAGCGGCGGACGGGUGAGUAACACGUGGAUAACCUACCUAUAAGACUGGGAUAACUUCGGGAAACCGGAGCUAAUACCGGAUAAUAUAUUGAACCGCAUGGUUCAAUAGUGAAAGACGGUUUUGCUGUCACUUAUAGAUGGAUCCGCGCCGCAUUAGCUAGUUGGUAAGGUAACGGCUUACCAAGGCAACGAUGCGUAGCCGACCUGAGAGGGUGAUCGGCCACACUGGAACUGAGACACGGUCCAGACUCCUACGGGAGGCAGCAGUAGGGAAUCUUCCGCAAUGGGCGAAGCCUGACGGAGCAACGCCGCGUGAGUGAUGAAGGUCUUCGGAUCGUAAAACUCUGUUAUUAGGGAAGAACAAAUGUGUAAGUAACUAUGCACGUCUUGACGGUACCUAAUCAGAAAGCCACGGCUAACUACGUG
rnacentral:rRNA from 1 species